rnacentral:rRNA from 1 species
AAACCGGAGGAAGGUGGGGAUGACGUCAAGUCAGCAUGGCCUUUAUAUCCUGGGCUACACACACGCUACAAUGGGAAGGGACAAUAGGUUGCGAAGCCGCGAGGCGGAGCCAAUCCAGCAAAACUUCCCUCAGUUCAGAUUGCAGGCUGCAACUCGCCUGCAUGAAGUUGGAGUUGCUAGUAAACGCAGGUCAGCCAUACUGCGUUGAAUACGUUCCCGGGGCUU